GUGCCAGCCGCCGCGGUAAUACGUAGGUGGCGAGCGUUGUCCGGAAUUAUUGGGCGUAAAGGGAGCGCAGGUGGGAGAGUAAGUCAGUCUUAAAAGUUCGGGGCUCAACCCCGUGAUGGGAUUGAAACUACUUUUCUUGAGUGCAGGAGAGGAAAGCGGAAUUCCUAGUGUAGCGGUGAAAUGCGUAGAUAUUAGGAGGAACACCAGUGGCGAAGGCGGCUUUCUGGACUGUAACUGACACUGAGGCUCGAAAGCGUGGGGAGCGAACAGGAUUAGAUACCCUGGUAGUCCACGCCGUAAACGAUGGAUACUAGGUGUAGGAGGUAUCGACCCCUUCUGUGCCGGAGUUAACGCAAUAAGUAUCCCGCCUGGGGAGUACGGCCGCAAGGCUGAAACUCAAAGGAAUUGACGG
rnacentral:rRNA from 1 species